rnacentral:rRNA from 1 species
CCUGAGAAACCCAAAAGAUCGAAUGGGGAGACUCAUCGCCAGCGGCGUUGGCUUUCGUGUGGAUAGCGAUGGUCGGGACCUCGGUUCUGUGUCACGCUUCUGCUUCGGAUGUCUGGCAUCGUCGGCGUGCACUUCUCCCCUAGUAGGACGUCGCGACCCGUUGGGUGUCGGAUCGAUGGUCGUUUGGUCGACUGUCUCGUAGCGCUACUGCUGUUCGGGACAGACCAAUUCGGUCGAGCAUCCGGCUGCCCGGCGGUAUAGAACGUUAUUGAACGGUAAUGAGCCGCAUUAAGUGCGUUCAGGCUCGUCGGCAGACUCGUCUCGCUCGGAUUUACGGACCUAGUGCCGUUGCCGGGUGCUUGGCGGGUUGUUAGUCGACGGUGUCCUCGGACUGGCUCAAAAAUUCGUAAGGAUUUACCGGUCAGCGACGCUACUGCUUUGGGUACUUUC